CGCAAGUGUAUUCCUAUACUGUUGCGUUUAAAUAGCUCGUAGUUGGAUCUGCGUGUUUAGCGCGCGGUGCUGCUUCUUGCAGUUACUGUGACGCGACACUGUACGUUGACUACAUACUUCGUAAGUACGUAGACAACAAGUUUACUUUGAACAAAUCAGAGUGCUCAAAACGGGCGUUUCGCUCGAAUGUUCUUGCAUGGAAUAAUAGAAUAGGACCGCGCGUUCUAUUUUGUUGGUUUUCGGGACGCGGGUGAUGAUUAAGAGGGACAGACGGGGGCAUUUGUACUGCGACGUGAGAGGUGAAAUUCUUGGAUCGUCGCAAGACAGACUACUGCGAAAGCAUUUGCCAAGAAUGUUUUCAUUAA
rnacentral:rRNA from 1 species